GUGGUUACAUGUCUAGUCAUGGAGUGACGGGCGGCAUUUGUGUGAACAUUUGAGGUUCACUGCGAGAGAGAUGCUCGUGGUGUUCAAAUUCUCUGAAAAUGGCAGCAAUACCUUGCACUAGUUCCUUCCAUUCCCCAACAACCUUCAUCAACUCCUAAACUAUGCCUGUUGGAUUCCGUUAAACAAUAAGAAUAAGUUGAAGAAUCUCAAUCCUCGUCUUCCUUACACUUGAAAAAUCUCAAUCCUCGUCUUCCUUCACCUCCAAUUGCGGAUUUACCUUUUGACCUAUCUCAUCCACCCAUCGAUCACGACUUCCUGGUGUUGAUUGCAUUCUUGGUGUUGUAGAGCUGCUCUUGCUUUGACAUCUUGAAAGGUAUGAUCCGGUUGGGGUUGGUGUCGGACUCCUCCGGCUUGUAGUCCUUGAGUGAAAUGAUGAUCGACGAGAAAAGAAACCAAUAUCAUCCACACUUUCAUGGUGAGAAUGAGCUCCUGCCGUGGUGGUUGGGUCUUCUUCAUUUGCAAUCUUGGUGAUUCCAAGGAUGCUGUAGGAGUCUUUUGUUGAAUCUCCCAUUAGAGGAAGAGAGGGAUCGGUAGAAAUUGAAGAUACGCAACCAAGAAGGAAAUUGAAGCCUCUUUAGUUGUGGAAGGUCCUUUUAUUACGCACCAUCUGUUUUACUUGGAGGUACGGCAGUUUCUAUGUUUAGAGGUUAUUUCACUUCCAUGUCCUAUAUUUAGCUAAAUUUUGAAUUAAUCCACCCGCUUUUCCUAACCACUAUGUUAUUUAUAUGUAUUUUCAGU